rnacentral:tRNA from 1 species
UGCCCCAUCGCCAAAUGGUAAAGGCACAGGACUUUGACUCCUGUAUUACUGGUUCGAAUCCGGUUGGGGCAG